AGGAUGAUCAGCCACACUGGCACUGGAACACGGGCCAGACUCCUACGGGAGGCAGCAGUGAGGAAUUUUGCGCAAUGGCCGCANNNUGGACGCAGCAACGCCGCGUGGGUGAAGAAGGCCUUCGGGUCGUAAAGCCCUGUCAGGUGGGAAGAACGGCCGGGGGACGAAUAGUCUUCCGGAUUGACGGUACCACCAGAGGAAGCACCGGCUAACUCCGUGCCAGCAGCCGCGGUAAUACGGAGGGUGCGAGCGUUAUUCGGAAUUACUGGGCGUAAAGCGCGUGCAGGCGGGCCGAAAAGUCUGAUGUGAAAGCCCCGGGCUCAACCUGGGAAGUGCAUUGGAAACUGUUGGUCUUGAGUUCUGGAGAGGAAGGGGGAAUUCCCGGUGUAGAGGUGAAAUUCGUAGAGAUCGGGAGGAAUACCAGUGGCGAAGGCGCCCUUCUGGACGGCAACUGACGCUGAGACGUGAAAGCGUGGGGUGCAAACAGGAUUAGAUACCCUGGUAGUCCACGCUGUAAACGAUGGGCACUAGGUGUAGCGGGUACUCAUUCCUGCUGUGCCGCAGCUAACGCGUUAAGUGCUCCGCCUGGGGAUUACGGUCGCAAGACUAAAACUCAAAGGAAUUGACGGGGGCCCGCACAAGCGGUGGAGUAUGUGGUUUAAUUCGACGCAACGCGAAGAACCUUACCUGGGCUUGACAUUCCCGGCCAGCCGUGGAAACACGGUUUUCCCCUUCGGGGGACCGGGAGACAGGUGCUGCAUGGCUGUCGUCAGCUCGUGUCGUGAGAUGUUGGGUUAAGUCCCGCAACGAGCGCAACCCUUGCCCUUAGUUGCCAGCGAGUCAAGUCGGGCACUCUAGGGGGACUGCCGCAGUGAAUGCGGAGGAAGGUGGGGAUGACGUCAAGUCCUCAUGGCCUUUAUGCCCAGGGCUACACACGUACUACAAUGGGCGGUACAAAGGGAAGCGAGGCAGCGAUGCGGAGCAAAUCCCAAAAAGCCGUUCACAGUUCGGAUCGGAGUCUGCAACUCGACUCCGUGAAGUUGGAAUCGCUAGUAAUCGCGGAUCAGCAUGCCGCGGUGAAUACGUUCCCGGGCCUUGUACACACCGCCCGUCACACCACGAAAGUCGGCUGU
rnacentral:rRNA from 1 species